UACAGAGGGCGCGAGCGUUGUCCGGAAUCACUGGGCGUAAAGGGCGCGUAGGUGGCGGCAUAAGGCCGUGGUGAAAGUCUGGGGCUCAACCCCAGAUCGGCCAUGGCGACUGUGUCGCUCGGGUACUGUAGAGGCAGAUGGAAUUCCGGGUGUAGCGGUGGAAUGCGUAGAGAUCCGGAAGAACACCGGUGGCGAAGGCGGCCUGCUGGGCAGUAGCUGACGCUGAGGCGCGACAGCGUGGGGAGCAAACAGG
rnacentral:rRNA from 1 species